GCCACGCCACGCCACGCCACGCCACGCCGCGUCUGGUCAGUGGACGCAGCCCAGCGCACGUCGCGCGGCCAGACUACACUGUCAACAGCGCGGGCGGCGGCGGCGAGCGGCAGCAGCGCACAGAGAGGGAAUUACCAACCAGCGGCGGAGGAGAACCAGACGCGCGGACGAGCUGCUGCUGGGCGAGCCGCAGCCCGCGACGGAAUGCAGAGCCGAGCUUUUUAAUCAACGUGUCGAGGAAGCGGAGAGUUUUUAAAAGGUUUGUCAGGAAUUCCAAUAAAGGCGAAUUCAUAAAGCGAAUUCUUAGGGCGCGCGUCUGCUGCUGCUGCUGCUUGCUGCUGUAACGGUUUGAUUUUCCGUUUUACCAUGCCUUCAUCUGUUGCCUUGACCGGCCGCGGAUGAGUGGGUCCGGGACUCCUACAAGGUAGGCAACCCAUCUCUCUUUAGUUGGGUUUCGGUCGGAGGGAUAGCGCCACUGUGCGGUUCGCUUCACUCCCCCUCCCCUUCCGGGUUGCUCAGCUGGUUGAGCGUUUUGACGGGUCGGUCAGAGCCAGAGCUGAUCCUGCCACCGACCCGGGCGUUCAACAGCAGCUCCGCACAACAUCUUUCUCUUCCCCGGGUCUUUUUACUAUGACUCUUUGUCACGUUUGUCGUCUUGCUGAUCGUGAUGUCAAGUUUGUUGGUGUUUGAUCCACCUCUACAAUGCUUCAAGUCCUGUUCGGUCUACAGUGGAAAGUGUGAUUUCUUUAUGUGUCGUUGGUAGAUAUCGCCAUUACUCAUCCUUGUAUGUUGAUUCUGUAAUGUGUGGCCGUGGUGCCCGUCGUAUGUCGUUUUGCUGUGCUUGUAUGCUUUGCAGCCUUCGUUCUGUAGUAAUGUUUCACUUUCACUAGUAUGACGUUUGAAUAAACUCUGUGAUAUAUUUUGGGUAAA